rnacentral:rRNA from 1 species
UACGUAGGGUGCAAGCGUUGUCCGGAAUUAUUGGGCGUAAAGAGCUCGUAGGCGGUCUGUCGCGUCUGCUGUGAAAACUCAGGGCUCAACCCUGAGCUUGCAGUGGGUACGGGCAGACUAGAGUGCGGUAGGGGAGACUGGAAUUCCUGGUGUAGCGGUGAAAUGCGCAGAUAUCAGGAGGAACACCGGUGGCGAAGGCGGGUCUCUGGGCCGUAACUGACGCUGAGGAGCGAAAGCAUGGGGAGCGAACAGG